CAUAUACAGCACAAAGAAUCUGUUGGAUUAUCGGCCCUUCUUCAGGUAGACUUGAUCAUUUCAAACAAGCUGCCUGAUGAAGAGCUGUACAAUCUUCCAGUCAUAUCAACACCUUGUAUC
rnacentral:precursor_RNA from 9 species